UAUAUCGGGACCGUCCCUCUUCAAUAAACACGAGAACUUCUCCUUUCUUCCUUCUUUUCUUAUUUUAUUUUCUUCCUUUUCUCUUCUUUCUUUCCUAUGCUUCCGAUUCUCUCUUUCUCGACGAACCCAGAAACCGUGAGAGACAAGGAGAGCGGAGAGUAACCGAUCAACAUAGAGAGUGAGAGAUGAGAGAAGCCGGGAGAGAUGAAACGGAGAGAGAGCUUGAUCGGGAGAAUCAGAGACUGGAGGGAGAGCCGGAGGUCCGAUCCUUUGACGGUUCAGUGGUGGGCCAGAGUAGACAACGCCGACGGAGCCAGAGAACUCGAUCGUUGAUGGGUCGUCAUCGUGAACCCAGAGUCUACGCUUCGGUUAUGUGCUUCAUGAAGACUCUGUGCAGAAUUCAAGACAGUGAAGUUCAGAUUCCUUGCACCUGUUCGCCGGUAUUCCAUCUAGACACUCAUCAGUUAAGCAACAUACGUUCGGACGACGAGAACUUUCCGUCCGGACUCCCAUCUGCAUCUAGAAGCUUCGAACUGUUCCAGGUUACAUCUGUUCGGACGACUCAACAACAUGUCCGAAUGCCUUUCAGUGUUCGACAAGUAAAAGGAUUUUCUUUCCAAACACAGAUAUGAGAAGACAGUUGCAACCGUUCGGACGACGUAGUUAUUCCGUCCGGACGCUAUCUUUGAUAAGGCAAGACGUGUAGAAGAGUUACAACCGUCUGGAUGUCAGUCUACACUGUCUAGACGCUCAGUCCUUAUAAUGGAAAUUGUGUGCAGCAGAAGUACAACCGUCUGGACACUAAGGCAACAUCAUCCAGACACGGCUCUAUUUAGAAAAGAAUUUCAGCGAAUUUGGAAAGCUAGUUGCACAGUUGUCCGUCCGAACGCCACCUAGAGAAAAUCAAUUCAGACUCGAUUUAGGUCUUCUAUAGCCUAUAAAUAAAGGCCUCUAGGCAUGUAAUUUGUAAGAAUUUGGUAUUGAAUUCCUUAGAGCUUAGAGAGUAUAUUUUAGGAGUUGUUGUGUUGAUCCAGUUGCUCUCAAGCUGUUGCCAAAGUGUUGUUGUUGUGUUCAUGUGAAGUCUAUCUUAGGGAGGACCCCUAAGGUAAAUGAUUUCAUUGAAAACCCCUUCAAGUAGGUAACUUGGUUGGGAGGCGUUCGCAUUGGGUGAUGCGUCAAAGUUCAAAGUACGACCACCGCAUAAAGGUAUGUGAGUGCUACUGCUUUGAAACUAGCUUUGUCUUCUAAAUAUUGGAUAUCUUGAGUUUCGCUGUCCCAGAGUGGUUUCUCUCUUAAUUUAGUUUCCACUUCGUUAACAAAA